rnacentral:rRNA from 1 species
CAAUAGCGUAUAUUAAAGUUGUUGCAGUUAAAAAGCUCGUAGUUGGAUUUCGGGGCAGCCUGGCUAGUCCGCCGCAAGGCGAGUACUGGUCAGCCGCCCUUCCUCUCGAAAGCCCCGACUGCUCUUCGUUGCAGUGGUCGGGUAGUUCGGGACGUUUACUUUGAAAAAAUUAGAGUGUUCAAGGCAGGCCUACGCCUGAAUACAUUAGCAUGGAAUAAUGGAAGAGGACCUCGGUCCUAUUUUGUUGGUUUCCAGGGCCGAAGUAAUGAUUAAGAGGGACAGUUGGGGGCAUUCGUAUUUAAUUGUCAGAGGUGAAAUUCUCGGAUUUAUGAAAGACGAACAACUGCGAAAGCAUUUGCCAAGGAUGUUUUCAUUAA